ACUGCUCAGUAACACGUGGACAACCUGCCCAAAGGUCCGGGAUAACCCCGGGAAACUGGGGAUAAUACCGGAUAAAUCACAAGUACUGGAAGGUUUUGUGGUUGAAACUUCCGGGGCCUUUGGAUGGGUCUGCGGCGGAUUAGGUUGUUGCCGGUGUAACGUACCGUCAAGCCUGUAAUCCGUACGGGUUGUGGGAGCAAGAGCCCGGAGAUGGAUUCUGAGACACGAAUCCAGGCCCUACGGGGCGCAGCAGGCGCGAAAACUCUACAAUGCAGGCAACUGCGAUAGGGGAACAUCGAGUGAUACUCAUCUUGAGUGUCUGUCCUCCCGUCUAAAAAACGGGAGUUAGCAAGGGCCGGGCAAGACCGGUGCCAGCCGCCGCGGUAAUACCGGCGGCUCGAGUGGUGGCCGAUAUUAUUGAGUCUAAAGGGUCCGUAGCCGGCUUUGCAAGUCUUUUGGGAAAUCCAGCGGCUUAACCGUUGGUCGUCCGGGAGAUACUACAUUGCUUGGGACUGGGAGAGGUAGGAGGUACUCAGGGGGUAGGAGUGAAAUCCUGUAAUCCUUUGGGGACCACCGGUGGCGAAGGCGUCCUACCAGAACAGGUCCGACGGUGAGGGACGAAAGCUAGGGGCACGAACCGGAUUAGAUACCCGGGUAGUCCUAGCCGUAAACGAUGCUCGCUAGGUGUCACAACAAUCGUGAAUUGUUGUGGUGCCGUAGGGAAGCCGUGAAGCGAGCCACUUGGGAAGUACGACCGCAAGGUUGAAACUUAAAGGAAUUGGCGGGGGAGCAC
rnacentral:rRNA from 1 species